rnacentral:rRNA from 2 species
UAGGGAAUCUUGCGCAAUGGGCGAAAGCCUGACGCAGCCAUGCCGCGUGAAUGAUGAAGGUCUUAGGAUUGUAAAAUUCUUUCACCGGGGACGAUAAUGACGGUACCCGGAGAAGAAGCCCCGGCUAACUUCGUGCCAGCAGCCGCGGUAAUACGAAGGGGGCUAGCGUUGCUCGGAAUUACUGGGCGUAAAGGGCGCGUAGGCGGACAGUUAAGUCAGAGGUGAAAGCCCAGGGCUCAACCUUGGAAUUGCCUUUGAUACUGGCUGUCUUGAGUACGGGAGAGGUGAGUGGAACUCCGAGUGUAGAGGUGAAAUUCGUAGAUAUUCGGAAGAACACCAGUGGCGAAGGCGACUCACUGGCCCGUUACUGACGCUGAGGCGCGAAAGCGUGGGGAGCAAACAGG